UGUGCUUGAGUCUUGCUUGUUGGUUAAAUCAAAAAGUGAAUACAUAAUUAAAAUAAAUAAAUUUCAACUUUUACAAUGGAAGAAAGAAAGAACAGAGCUCCUUUAAAACGAAAAGUCAUUUCAAUAGAAACAAAAAUACAAAUUCUAAACCGCUUAGAUAAUGGGCAAACUGCUACGGAAAUAGCAAGAAGCCUUGAUUUAAAUGAGGCUACAGUUCGCACUAUCAAAAAGAAUGAAACUAAAAUACGACAUGCAGGAAGCAUUGGGUCAUCUAUAUCUACAAAAUUUACCAGUAGAGCACGUGCACCAAUUUUGGAGAAAAUAGAAAGAGCACUUAGCAUUUGGAUCGAAAAAAGAUCCCUUUAAUCGAACGGAUCUUUAAGGAAACGGCACUCAGGAUUGGACUGCGCGAGCAAAAUGAAGAGCCCUCUUCCAGCAUAGAUUCGUUGCUAGUAAUGGAUAAUUCGCGAAAUUUAAAAAAAGGUUCUCCAUUCAUAGCCUCAAAUUUAAGGGCGAAGCGGCGUCGGCUGAUGAUGAAGCUGCUACCACAUACCCAGAAGAAAUUCAGGGGUUCAUUAAUGAAGAGGAAUUCCUGCCCGAUUAAGUUUUCAAUGCUGAUGAAACUGGACUUUGCUGGAAAAAAAUGUCAAAUCGAACUUUUAUAUCAAGGAAUGUGAAAGUAGCCCCCGGCUUUAAGGCACAAAAAGAUCGGUUUACACUUUUGCUGUGUAGUAAUGCAUCAGGCGACUUUCAAGUAAGGCCAAUGCUUGUUUAUAAAUCGUUCAAUCCCCGUGCGUUUAAAGGGAUAGACAAGAGAAAAUUACUCGUUUACUGGAAAGCAAGUUACAAAGCUUGGGUAACUGCAGAAUUAUUUAAGGACUGGUUCUUGAAUGAUUUUGUACCUGAGGUUGAAAAAUAUUUAAAAAACAGUCUCUGAGAUCCAGUGUUUCAUACGGACGGUGCUGGUGUAAGGUUGAUUAGCGUGGCGUACGCGCUGGCUUCUCCGGGCUUUGCUCAGUUAGAAUGGGGUUCAAGAAAACGGCCAACUAAUAAGACGCAUCACUUAUAAUAAUAAUACAUUAAGAAUUCGCCUACAUAUGGGAAGACAGAGAAGAAGGAGUGUAAUGGGAAGGUUGUAUUAAACAAUAGUGAAAGAGAAGGGGAAGGAGAGGAAGACGCCCACCCUACCGUGAUCCUGCAUUCUAAUGCCAAAAAUAACUGUUGGCAGGAUCCCUAAAAGGAAGUGGUUCUGCUAACCUACUCCUGCUUGGUGAUGCAUGGUUCCAAAUAAAAUUAUGCAAUUAAGCGAACAUACUUAAUUUAUUAACAUACAACAAAAGGGAUUUGAAGUUUAACAACAUUACAAACGAAAUGACAAACAAAAAUAAAUAAAUAAAUAAUUUAACGGA